AAGGAGCCGGACUCUCCGGUGGAGAAGCCACAUCGGCACCAGAUUCCGGUGCCGGACUUGGAGAAUUUGUCGACGGAUCUGCAGAGAUACAUUGUUGUACGAACAGAACUGCAAAGAGAAGCAUGAAAGAAAGCACUCGAAUUGUCGCCAUUGCUAUCAAAACCUAACACACAACAGAAAAACUAAGUUAAAGUAAAUCAAAGCAAUUUACAAUGCAAAAAACAAAUGCAGAUCUGGAGAUUUACAGAGAAUUUUGUGGUGAAACUGAAGACUUACCGUUGAAGUAAAAGGAAAUUCAAAAUUCAAAGUCUAGAGAGAGAAGGAGAGUACCUGCGGAAGUGUGGAGAGAGAGAAAGGCGAUGAAUGAGGGACUGCUAGUGCUAGAUUAAGG
rnacentral:lncRNA from 1 species